CCAGUGGCUCUGCGCGCCCGAGUCCGCGGCGGAGACUGGGCGGCCGCGGGGACUGCCGCGGGCUCGGCUCCGGGGCUCAACACUGCCACUGUCUGACACAACAGCAGCAGUGUCGCGGGAGCUGCGCGGCCGAGGCGCGAGAUGUGAUAGGCUCUGAAAACUGGACAUUGGACCGCUGAUGAGGGAAAGACAACCAGAGAGACGACGCUGGCGUGCGGUUCUCUAUUCAGGGUGGUGAAAAGGAGGAGGAAUGUCUUCAAUUCAUACAAAAUGUGAAAGGAUGCAGUGAAGUACAGCAACGGAGACUAUUCUGGGAGGACCCAGCAACUCCUAUCCUGGCCCAUUUCCCUGGAUCCGUUUCAGUUCGAUCCUGAAUAGAUCACUGCCCUCUGACCCAAGUGUUCUGACCGACGUGCUUUUUUUCAGAGAAACGUUCCGACCGGCCAGAAACGUUUCCUCUGUUACUCAUCACAGCGAAAACUCUGUUAGAGCAAUGUUUCAGUAGGUCUUCUGUUACCCAUAUACCGGAGUAUUGUUAUUAGUGGGAAGGUAAUACUUAAUUAGGGAAAAAAAAAAAAUCAGCAGGGCAUAUGAACUGAUGAUAGAAAUA